UAAGACGAACCGUCCUAACGUUGUUCGGAAUCACUGGGCUUAAAGGGCGCGUAGGCGGGUGGCAAAGUCAGGGGUGAAAUCUUUCGGCUUAACCGGAAAAGUGCCCCUGAUACUGGUCGUCUAGAGGGAGGUAGGGGUCUGUGGAACUUCUGGUGGAGCGGUGAAAUGCGUUGAUAUCAGAAGGAACGCCGGUGGCGAAAGCGACGGACUGGACCUCUUCUGACGCUGAGGCGCGAAAGCUAGGGGAGCGAACGGGAUUAGAUACCCCGGUAGUCCUAGCCCUAAACGAUGGGUACUAGAUUGUAGACUUGCAUGGGUUUACAGUCGAAGCAAAAGUGAUAAGUACCCCGCCUGGGGAGUAUGGUCGCAAGGCUG
rnacentral:rRNA from 1 species